AAAGCACGUGAGCUGACUGUCAAGAAAAGCCGCUAUUGUUUGCAGGAUACCCGUACCGUAAACCGACACAGGUGGAUGAGGAGAGAAUCCUAAGGCCGACGGGAGAAGCAUUGUUAAGGAACUCGGCAAAAUGACUCCGUAACUUCGGGAGAAGGAGUGCCAGUAAGAUGGCCGCAGAGAAUUGGCCCAAGCAACUGUUUAGCAAAAACACAGGUCUAUGCAAAACCGAAAGGUGAGGUAUAUGGGCUGACGCCUGCCCGGUGCUGGAAGGUUAAGGGGAGAGGUUAGCGCAAGCGAAGCUUUGAACUUAAGCCCCAGUGAACGGCGGCCGUAACUAUAACGGUCCUAAGGUAGCGAAAUUCCUUGUCGGGUAAGCUCCGACCCGCACGGAAGGCGUAAUGAUUUGGGCACUGUCUCAACAAUGCACCCGGUGAAAUUGAAAUACCAGUGAAGAUGCUGGUUACCUGCGCCAGGACGGAAAGACCCCAUGGAGCUUUACUCCAGCUUGAUACUGGGAUUCGGUAUUGCAUGUACAGGAUAGGUGGGAGGCUAGGAAAUGGUAACGCCAGUUGCCAUGGAGCCAAUGUUGGGAUACCACCCUUGCAGUACUGGGUUUCUAACCAGCAGCCGUGAUCCGGCUGGGGGACAAUGUCAGGUGGGGAGUUUGACUGGGGCGGUCGCCUCCGAAAGGGUAUCGGAGGCGCUCAAAGGUUCCCUCAGAAUGGUUGGAAACCAUUCGAAGAGUGCAAAGGCAGAAGGGAGCUUGACUGCGACACCGACGGGUGGAGCAGGUACGAAAGUAGGACUUAGUGAUCCGGUGGUAUAAAGUGGGAUUGCCAUCGCUCAACGGAUAAAAGCUACCCUGGGAUAACAGGCUUAUCACUCCCAAGAGUUCACAUCGACGGAGUGGUUUGGCACCUCGAUGUCGGCUCAUCGCAUCCUGGGGCUGAAGUAGGUCCCAAGGGUUGGGCUGUUCGCCCAUUAAAGCGGUACGCGAGCUGGGUUCAGAACGUCGUGAGACAGUUCGGUCCCUAUCCGGCGUGGGCGUAAGAUAUUUGAGAGGAGCUGUCCUUAGUACGAGAGGACCGGGAUGGACUGGCCGCUGGUGUAUCUGUUGUCUUACCAAAGGCAUAGCAGAGUAGCCAAGCCGGGAAGGGAUAAACGCUGAAGGCAUCUAAGCGUGAAGCCCCCCUCAAGAUGAGAUAUCUCAUAACGUCAAGUUAGUAAGACCCCUUGAAGACGACGAGGUAGAUAGGGCAGAGGUGGAAGUGUGGUAACACAUGGAGCUGACUGUUACUAAUAGGUCGAGGGCAUAACC
rnacentral:rRNA from 1 species